CAGCAUUUUGUGUGUGUUGUUGUUAAUGUUGACAGUGCUUCUCCCUAUAGAUGCUGCCUGGCCUGCUGUGUUCCACCAGCAUUUUGUGUGUGUUGUUGUUGUUUGAAUUUCCAGCAUCUGCAGAUUUCCUUGUGUUUUCAGUUCCUUGAGAGAAUUUUCCAAGCAGAAAAUGGAGACAAUGGAGCCCAAACCCAGACUGCUCCCUGUCAAUGCAAAUGAAGCCGAUGCACUACCCCAGACAGGGCGAGGCUCCAGCUAAUCACUUGGCUAACAGAAAAAGAAAAGUACUGGCCAAUUAGUUCUCACCCAGAGUCUGAAAUAUCCUCAGCAUCCAAUAAGUCUGGCGACAAUGCAGCACUGCCAAAGUGGGAGAAGGAAUUUUCU